CACGUAGGGCGCAAGCGUUGUCCGGAAUUAUUGGGCGUAAAGAGCUCGUAGGCGGUCUGUUGCGUCCGCUGUGAAACUCGGGCUUAACCCGAGCCUGCAGUGGAUACGGCAGACUAGAGGUAGGUAGGGAGAAUGGAAUUCCGGUGUAGUAGUGAAAUGCGUAGAUAUCGGAGGAACACCAGUGGCGAAGGCGGCCUUCUGGCUUGUAACUGACGCUGUAGCGCGAAAGCGUGGGAGCGA
rnacentral:rRNA from 1 species